GCAGCGGCAAAAUCCGCUGCCGGGAUUGGCGUCUCGAUAAUCAGAAAGGAGCCGACCCACGCUCUUGCGUGGUUUUU
rnacentral:sRNA from 1 species